AGAGAUGUCACCUCGGAUUUACCAGAAAGGCGGUGUAAUUCUCCUUGCAUACCUCGUACUCGUUUUGUCAUCUGCUGAAACACAUGUAUACGAAUAUUCUUUUGAGGUAUAUUCAGUAUCAAACUGUCCAAUGAGCAAAGAGGCGUGGGAAAAGGCGUCUAUCCGGUUAAAAUGCACUCAACAGCAUGGAUAUCAAUGUGUUCCAGAUAAAUAUUUCACCUCACUUAUUGAAUUCUGUUAUCCACAUGGAUACAGAUUGCCUUUCGAAAAAGGACAUUGUAUCAAAUUAGCAGCAGCUGGUAUCUUAAACCAAGUUCCCUGCAACACCUUCGACAGUGGAUGCCCUGAACAGUUUUAUUUCAGCAAUGAUAUAUACAAAUAUCCAAAGUGCUUGUCGAUCAACACGAAUUUCAGAUGCUUUGAUGCAGAUGUUCUAUGCAUAUUAUCCAAAAUUGCCGAACGCACUACGAGCAACGUUCACAACACUAGCUCCCAAAAUAUUACAACGAUAAUGAACAGAAUAAAGAACAACUACACAGACUACUUUGGGCCCUUUGCUGUCAUCUUGACUCUGUUUGUCGUUGAGAACCUUGCAGUAUUUGGAUUUGUUAUGUACAAAUUUUACAUCAGAAGGAAAU